UCCAUAUUCCUGCCAACGGCCACAAGUGAGCUUCCCUGGGGCUGAGCCGGCCGAGGCCUAGGCCAACACCUUGACGGUACCCUUGUGAGAGACUCCGACCCAGAGCAUCCAGACAUAUGUGCUAGUCCAAAUCCACUGCAAAGUCCACCGCACAGUGGACACCAAGCCCAGCAGAGCUCCUGAAAUACAACCCCCGGGUGAGGCACUUAACUCGUUCAGAACCAGAGCAGUCCUGGCUGCUAGGCACUUGUGUCGGCCACAACACACGACGAGGUUACAGGCUGAGCAGCCGGCGUGUGCAACUCUGGGUACUCAGGCCAGUGCCAGCCCCCAUGAAUGGAGAGAAAAAUGCCAAGCUGUUGACAAAAGUUUGCUGCUAGAAAUGAAACCCUGGCAAGAAUUUGACAACCUGCACGCAUUGUGAAUAUGCUGGUUUAUCUGGCAGGAAUAGGAAGCUGUG